rnacentral:rRNA from 1 species
AGCGAACGCUGGCGGCAGGCUUAACACAUGCGAGUCGAACGGUCCUUCGGGAUAGUGGCGGACGGGUGAGUAACACGUGGGAACGUACCCUUAGGUUCGGAACAACACAGGGAAACUUGUGCUAAUACCGGAUAAGCCCUUCGGGGGAAAGAUUUAUCGCCUUUGGAGCGGCCCGCGUCUGAUUAGCUUGUUGGUGAGGUAAUGGCUCACCAAGGCUACGAUCAGUAGCUGGUCUGAGAGGAUGGCCAGCCACACUGGGACUAAGACACGGCCCAGACUCCCACGGGAGGCAGCAGUGGGGAAUCUUGCGCAAUGGGCGAAAGCUUGACGCAGCCAUGCCGCGUGGAUGAUGAAGGUCUUAGGAUUGUAAAAUCCUUUCACCGGGGACGAUAAUGACGGUACCCGGAGAAGAAGCCCCGGCUAACUUCGUGCCAGCCGCCGCCGUAA